rnacentral:rRNA from 1 species
UGCAGUCGAACGAACUUCCGUUAAUUGAUUAUGACGUGCUUGCACUGAAUGAGAUUUUAACACGAAGUGAGUGGCGGACGGGUGAGUAACACGUGGGUAACCUGCCCAGAAGCAGGGGAUAACACCUGGAAACAGAUGCUAAUACCGUAUAACAGAGAAAACCGCCUGGUUUUCUUUUAAAAGAUGGCUCUGCUAUCACUUCUGGAUGGACCCGCGGCGCAUUAGCUAGUUGGUGAGGUAACGGCUCACCAAGGCGAUGAUGCGUAGCCGACCUGAGAGGGUAAUCGGCCACAUUGGGACUGAGACACGGCCCAGACUCCUACGGGAGGCAGCAGUAGGGAAUCUUCCACAAUGGACGCAAGUCUGAUGGAGCAACGCCGCGUGAGUGAAGAAGGGUUUCGGCUCGUAAAGCUCUGUUGUUAAAGAAGAACGUGGGUGAGAGUAACUGUUCACCCAGUGACGGUAUUUAACCAGAAAGCCACGGCUAACUACGUGCCAGCAGCCGCGGUAAUACGUAGGUGGCAAGCGUUAUCCGGAUUUAUUGGGCGUAAAGCGAGCGCAGGCGGUCUUUUAAGUCUAAUGUGAAAGCCUUCGGCUCAACCGAAGAAGUGCAUUGGAAACUGGGAGACUUGAGUGCAGAAGAGGACAGUGGAACUCCAUGUGUAGCGGUGAAAUGCGUAGAUAUAUGGAAGAACACCAGUGGCGAAGGCGGCUGUCUGGUCUGUAACUGACGCUGAGGCUCGAAAGCAUGGGUAGCGAACAGGAUUAGAUACCCUGGUAGUCCAUGCCGUAAACGAUGAUUACUAAGUGUUGGAGGGUUUCCGCCCUUCAGUGCUGCAGCUAACGCAUUAAGUAAUCCGCCUGGGGAGUACGACCGCAAGGUUGAAACUCAAAAGAAUUGACGGGGGCCCGCACAAGCGGUGGAGCAUGUGGUUUAAUUCGAAGCUACGCGAAGAACCUUACCAGGUCUUGACAUCUUCUGCCAACCUAAGAGAUUAGGCGUUCCCUUCGGGGACAGAAUGACAGGUGGUGCAUGGUUGUCGUCAGCUCGUGUCGUGAGAUGUUGGGUUAAGUCCCGCAACGAGCGCAACCCUUAUUACUAGUUGCCAGCAUUCAGUUGGGCACUCUAGUGAGACUGCCGGUGACAAACCGGAGGAAGGUGGGGACGACGUCAAAUCAUCAUGCCCCUUAUGACCUGGGCUACACACGUGCUACAAUGGAUGGUACAACGAGUUGCGAAACCGCGAGGUUUAGCUAAUCUCUUAAAACCAUUCUCAGUUCGGACUGUAGGCUGCAACUCGCCUACACGAAGUCGGAAUCGCUAGUAAUCGCGGAUCAGCAUGCCGCGGUGAAUACGUUCCCGGGCCUUGUACACACCGCCCGUCACACCAUGAGAGUUUGUAACACCCAAAGCCGGUGGGGUAACC